CACUUUUCGUUUUCUGUAUUCCCUUUGAUAAUUAACCGAGCAAAAUGAUGAAUUACUGCAGGUUAUUUGAUCGAGAAAAGAUAACUAACUUUACAAGCGUUCACACUUGCCUGCAGUGGUAACAAUCCAUGAUGAAGGAACUAAAACAAUAAACGGAGGAGAGACGGCUAGGUGGCUUUGAAAAGUAAAGGAAUAAAACUAAUCUAUUUUAUAGCAAAGAAUGAAGAGCCAGCUGUGCAGAUUUUACCAUAAAAGAAAAAACAGUACAAAACCAAAGACCUAGGAAAUUGAUCAGGCAUUUCCCACCAAGCCACACUGAUUGGGUGCAAGUAAAUUAUUAAAAAAAA